rnacentral:sRNA from 1 species
UAAUUUUAGAUUUUUCUAAUUUUGAGUAGUCUAGGUUUUCUAACAAACUGAAAAUCAGUACCUUGGGAUGAUGUCAGUUUCACCUCAUACGUUACUCUUCAUUUUUUAUGUUUUUAUAGGUUUUGGCUCAUCUUUUGGAUAUGGUUUUCUAUAGUGAUGAAAAGGAGCGGGUUAUUCCUUUACUUGUAAAUAUUAUGCAUUAUGUUGUGCCCUACCUCAGAAAUCACAGGUACUAUCAUUAUUUAAAUAGUUUUUAAAUUAAUUCAUAGCCUGUUAGAAACAAGUUCUGUUCCCUUAUUGCCAUUUCUAGAAUUAUCACAAAAUGGCAUUUUUACCUUGAAUUAUAAUUGUUUAAGAAAAUUCAUAUAUUAUUUUUCUUAUGGUGCUUUCUAUUUCAUAUCUUCAUGUCACUGUCUCAGGUAAAUGUAACCAUUUAUGUCUAACUUGAUAGGAUGAUUAAAGUUAGGACACAUAGGUUAAGGUGGUUUUUCUUCCUUGUAGUGCACAUAAUGCCCCUAGUUAUCGAGCUUGUGUCCAGCUGCUCAGCAGUCUUAGUGGGUAUCAGUACACACGGAGAGCUUGGAAAAAAGAAGCUUUUGACCUCUUUAUGGAUCCCAGUUUCUUUCAGAUGGAUGCCUCUUGUGUUAAUCAUUGGAGAGCAAUUAUGGACAAUCUGAUGACACAUGAUAAAACAACAUUUAGAGAUUUGAUGAGUGAGUAUUAUGGGAUGACAAUCCAAGUUCUU